rnacentral:lncRNA from 1 species
AUGGCUGCAAAAAAAAAAAAGGGGGGGAGCCGUAAAGAAGAGGAGGAUGAAGCGAAGUCCCAGGAGUCCCCGCUUCACAUCUUGUUGUGCAGGAACAAGGAGGCGGAGGAGGGGUUGUUGUUCCGAUGGAGGCAGUACAGAUCCCGGGAUGAGGGCUGGAAAGGGUGGGCUUCAGGACGCGCCCCCCCACACCCCCACCUUCUCUUCCUUUCUUUCUCUGUAGCAGGCAGGGUGCCCCCCUUCUGGUCAGACGGAGGGAUCGAUCCUGGAGGAAGAGGAGGAGGAGGAGGAAGCAGCAGCAGCAGCGGCCCCUCCCCCCCUCCCUUAGCCUCUUCCCCCUCCGCGGGGGAUAAGGAUGGUUACAAGCGCUUGGUCUGCGGAGAGGACAAGUCUCUCUCCUCGGAACCGAAGGCGCGAUGCUUCAGGCGUUUCUGGAGCGGCUCCGUCUCAAGUCCGCCAUGUAGCAGCAUGGGAAGAGGGAGUACACAGAGAAGAAACAGCUCUCCAGAGCGGAACGUGGCGGCCUCCCAACCCCGCGACCGGGCUCAACAGCCAAGAGGAGCUGUGGGUGGGGUCCACCGGGGGUCCCGAGGCUCUAGCCGAAACCGGGAGUGCGGACUCCCUUACUGGCUGCGAAGCUGGUGUAGUGGGUGUAUCACGGAGGUUUCAGGUUCUCUCAGGUCUGGCCGGCCAGGGGCCCUGAGUUGCUGUGGGUCUCUGUUGUUGCUUUUCCCCCUCCCAGGCUCUACCCGCCCAGUCGGUCCCUCUCGUUCGCUCCCUCCCCUCAGUCGCUCACACACAAACAAAAUGGCGGCUGUUGUUUCUUCACUCUCCCGAUUCCUCAGAGGGAAGCGAGCGGCGGCGGCCGGAAAUGAGCCAAGAAGAAAAAAAGGGGCGUGGCCGAAAGGGAGAGGCGGGGACUCACGCAGCUCGCUCACACAAUGGAACGCGGAGGACCGAGGAGGGGGAGAGCCCGAGGCGGGGUCGGCUUCGGUCACGGGACUUAUACGGCCACUAGGCUUGCGCUCCUGGAGCAACCCCUUCCGCAAACUCUCUUGUCUCCGCCUCUUAAAGGGAAANAAGAAAGUUCUCGCCAUUUUCCCUCCUCCUUUCUCGUUAUUUUUAGUCGGCGAAAAUAAACCGCGAGACUAUUCCUUGGGACAGGCCUAUUGUAAAUGGGGAGGGGGAGGAGGUGGUUGUGUACUCUGGAACUGGCAGUGCUCGUGCUGCGCAUCGGAAGCUCCCUGUAUUAAGAGAGGCCUCCUCCUCACUUAG